rnacentral:rRNA from 1 species
AUGAUGCCCAGCUUGCUGGGCGGAUUAGUGGCGAACGGGUGAGUAAUACGUGAGUAACCUGCCCUUGACUCUGGGAUAAGCCUGGGAAACUGGGUCUAAUACUGGAUACUACCUCUUACCGCAUGGUGGGUGGUGGAAAGGGUUUUACUGGUUUUGGAUGGGCUCACGGCCUAUCAGCUUGUUGGUGGGGUAAUGGCUCACCAAGGCGACGACGGGUAGCCGGCCUGAGAGGGUGACCGGCCACACUGGGACUGAGACACGGCCCAGACUCCUACGGGAGGCAGCAGUGGGGAAUAUUGCACAAUGGGCGGAAGCCUGAUGCAGCGACGCCGCGUGAGGGAUGACGGCCUUCGGGUUGUAAACCUCUUUCAGUAGGGAAGAAGCGAGAGUGACGGUACCUGCAGAAGAAGCGCCGGCUAACUACGUGCCAGCAGCCGCGGUAAUACGUAGGGCGCAAGCGUUGUCCGGAAUUAUUGGGCGUAAAGAGCUCGUAGGCGGUUUGUCGCGUCUGCUGUGAAAGCCCGGGGCUCAACCCCGGGUCUGCAGUGGGUACGGGCAGACUAGAGUGCAGUAGGGGAGACUGGAAUUCCUGGUGUAGCGGUGAAAUGCGCAGAUAUCAGGAGGAACACCGAUGGCGAAGGCAGGUCUCUGGGCUGUUACUGACGCUGAGGAGCGAAAGCAUGGGGAGCGAACAGGAUUAGAUACCCUGGUAGUCCAUGCCGUAAACGUUGGGCACUAGGUGUGGGGGACAUUCCACGUUUUCCGCGCC